UACGUAGGGGGCAAGCGUUGUCCGGAUUUAUUGGGCGUAAAGAGCGUGUAGGCGGCCAGGUAGGUCCGUUGUGAAAACUGGAGGCUUAACCUCCAGCUGUCGAUGGAAACCAUCUGGCUAGAGUCCGGAAGAGGAGAGUGGAAUUCCUGGUGUAGCGGUGAAAUGCGCAGAUAUCAGGAAGAACACCCGUGGCGAAGGCAGCUCGCUGGGACGGUACUGACGCUGAGACGCGAAAGCGUGGGGAGCAAACAGG
rnacentral:rRNA from 1 species